UACGGAGGGGGCGAGCGUUAUUCGGAAUUAUUGGGCGUAAAGGGCGCGUAGGCGGCGCGGUAAGUCAAAGGUGAAAUCCCUCGGCUCAACUGAGGAACUGCCUUUGAUACUGUCGUGCUCGAGGCCGGGAGGGGGUAGCGGAAUUCCCAGUGUAGCGGUGAAAUGCGUAGAUAUUGGGAGGAACACCAGUGGCGAAGGCGGCUACCUGGACCGGUUCUGACGCUGAUGCGCGAAAGCGUGGGGAGCAAACAGG
rnacentral:rRNA from 1 species